GGUUAAGCGACUAAGCGUACACGGUGGAUGCCCUGGCAGUCAGAGGCGAUGAAGGGCGUGCUAAUCUGCGAUAAGCGCCGGUAAGGUGAUAUGAACCGUUAUAACCGGCGAUACCCGAAUGGGGAAACCCAGUGUGACUCGUCACACUAUCAUUAACUGAAUCCAUAGGUUAAUGAGGCGAACCGGGGGAACUGAAACAUCUAAGUACCCCGAGGAAAAGAAAUCAACCGAGAUUCCCCCAGUAGCGGCGAGCGAACGGGGAGGAGCCCAGAGCCUGAAUCAGCAUGUGUGUUAGUGGAAGCGUCUGGAAAGGCGCGCGAUACAGGGUGACAGCCCCGUACACAAAAGCGCAUGUGCUGUGAGCUCGAUGAGUAGGGCGGGACACGUGGUAUCCUGUCUGAAUAUGGGGGGACCAUCCUCCAAGGCUAAAUACUCCUGACUGACCGAUAGUGAACCAGUACCGUGAGGGAAAGGCGAAAAGAACCCCGGCGAGGGGAGUGAAAAAGAACCUGAAACCGUGUACGUACAAGCAGUGGGAGCACAGGUUUACCUGUGUGACUGCGUACCUUUUGUAUAAUGGGUCAGCGACUUAUAUUCUGUAGCAAGGUUAACCGAAUAGGGGAGCCGGAGGGAAACCGAGUCUUAAUUGGGCGUUAAGUUGCAGGGUAUAGACCCGAAACCCGGUGAUCUAGCCAUGGGCAGGUUGAAGGUUGGGUAACACUAACUGGAGGACCGAACCGACUAAUGUUGAAAAAUUAGCGGAUGACCUGUGGCUGGGGGUGAAAGGCCAAUCAAACCGGGAGAUAGCUGGUUCUCCCCGAAAGCUAUUUAGGUAGCGCCUCGUGAAUUCAUCUCCGGGGGUAGAGCACUGUUUCGGCUAGGGGGCCAUCCCGGCUUACCAACCCGAUGCAAACUGCGAAUACCGGAGAAUGUUAUCACGGGAGACACACGGCGGGUGCUAACGUCCGUCGUGAAGAGGGAAACAACCCAGACCGCCAGCUAAGGUCCCAAAGUCAUGGUUAAGUGGGAAACGAUGUGGGAAGGCCCAGACAGCCAGGAUGUUGGCUUAGAAGCAGCCAUCAUUUAAAGAAAGCGUAAUAGCUCACUGGUCGAGUCGGCCUGCGCGGAAGAUGUAACGGGGCUAAACCAUGCACCGAAGCUGCGGCAGCGAACGUAUCACUUAAAGCGAUUCAGCGGGUUACGAUUGACGGAGCGAAGCGACGUCAAAGCGUAUACAAAGUCGAGUCGGUUUAAGGAUACGUUCGUUGGGUAGGGGAGCGUUCUGUAAGCCUGUGAAGGUGGCCUGUGAGGGUUGCUGGAGGUAUCAGAAGUGCGAAUGCUGACAUAAGUAACGAUAAAGCGGGUGAAAAGCCCGCUCGCCGGAAGACCAAGGGUUCCUGUCCAACGUUAAUCGGGGCAGGGUGAGUCGACCCCUAAGGCGAGGCCGAAAGGCGUAGUCGAUGGGAAACGGGUUAAUAUUCCCGUACUUGGUGUUACUGCGAAGGGGGGACGGAGAAGGCUAUGUUGGCCGGGCGACGGUUGUCCCGGUUUAAGCGUGUAGGUGUGUGUUCCAGGUAAAUCCGGUUCACUUUAACACUGAGGCGUGACGACGAGGCACUACGGUGCUGAAGCAACAAAUGCCCUGCUUCCAGGAAAAGCCUCUAAGCAUCAGGUAACAUCAAAUCGUACCCCAAACCGACACAGGUGGUCAGGUAGAGAAUACCAAGGCGCUUGAGAGAACUCGGGUGAAGGAACUAGGCAAAAUGGUGCCGUAACUUCGGGAGAAGGCACGCUGACACGUAGGUGAAGUGAUUUACUCAUGGAGCUGAAGUCAGUCGAAGAUACCAGCUGGCUGCAACUGUUUAUUAAAAACACAGCACUGUGCAAACACGAAAGUGGACGUAUACGGUGUGACGCCUGCCCGGUGCCGGAAGGUUAAUUGAUGGGGUCAGCGCAAGCGAAGCUCCUGAUCGAAGCCCCGGUAAACGGCGGCCGUAACUAUAACGGUCCUAAGGUAGCGAAAUUCCUUGUCGGGUAAGUUCCGACCUGCACGAAUGGCGUAAUGAUGGCCAGGCUGUCUCCACCCGAGACUCAGUGAAAUUGAACUCGCUGUGAAGAUGCAGUGUACCCGCGGCAAGACGGAAAGACCCCGUGAACCUUUACUAUAGCUUGACACUGAACAUUGAGCCUUGAUGUGUAGGAUAGGUGGGAGGCUUUGAAGUGUGGACGCCAGUCUGCAUGGAGCCGACCUUGAAAUACCACCCUUUAAUGUUUGAUGUUCUAACGUGGACCCGUAAUCCGGGUUGCGGACAGUGUCUGGUGGGUAGUUUGACUGGGGCGGUCUCCUCCUAAAGAGUAACGGAGGAGCACGAAGGUUGGCUAAUCCUGGUCGGACAUCAGGAGGUUAGUGCAAUGGCAUAAGCCAGCUUGACUGCGAGCGUGACGGCGCGAGCAGGUGCGAAAGCAGGUCAUAGUGAUCCGGUGGUUCUGAAUGGAAGGGCCAUCGCUCAACGGAUAAAAGGUACUCCGGGGAUAACAGGCUGAUACCGCCCAAGAGUUCAUAUCGACGGCGGUGUUUGGCACCUCGAUGUCGGCUCAUCACAUCCUGGGGCUGAAGUAGGUCCCAAGGGUAUGGCUGUUCGCCAUUUAAAGUGGUACGCGAGCUGGGUUUAGAACGUCGUGAGACAGUUCGGUCCCUAUCUGCCGUGGGCGCUGGAGAACUGAGGGGGGCUGCUCCUAGUACGAGAGGACCGGAGUGGACGCAUCACUGGUGUUCGGGUUGUCAUGCCAAUGGCACUGCCCGGUAGCUAAAUGCGGAAGAGAUAAGUGCUGAAAGCAUCUAAGCACGAAACUUGCCCCGAGAUGAGUUCUCCCUGAGACUUUAAGUCUCCUGAAGGAACGUUGAAGACGACGACGUUGAUAGGCCGGGUGUGUAAGCGCAGCGAUGCGUUGAGCUAACCGGUACUAAUGAACCGUGAGGCUUAACCUU
rnacentral:rRNA from 2 species